GAACAAUGUUAAUCUGAACUAACAAUUUUCUAGUCAACUUUCAUGUGACCAGUUAACCUGACACGCACACACACACACACACAUAUAUGUUUCUAGUGGUAUACUUAUGGGGUCCAGUUGAGCUCACACACACACAUAUGUUUCUAGUGGUAUACUUAUGGGGUCCAGUUGAGCUCACACACACACAUAUGUUUCUAGUGGUAUACUUAUGGGGUCCAGUUGAGCUCACACACACAUAUGUUUCUAGUUGUAUACUUAUGGGGUCCAGUUGAGCUCACACACAUGUAUACGUUUCUAGUCUUAUCUUGGUGGGGUCCUCCCGUAUGUAUAUCACUCUUAAGUGAUUUUACAUUAUUUCAGCAUCUUUCAAUAUUUAAACUCAAGUUGUUACAGGUAACAUUUUUCAUACACACUACCUUUUCUAACUUGUGAAUCUCUCCACAUACAUGAUUACUGUCAGUUCUUAAUGUGUUCCUGUUUUUUAUAUAAAUUCCAGGUGACAAGCCACCAGACAGAGACGCUCCCUGUUGAUCAAACAUCCCAUGAGGAUUCAGACAUCGAUGCUGCUACCACACAGGUGACAAGCCACCAGACAGAGACGCUCCCUGUUGAUCAAACAUCCCAUGAGGAUUCAGACAUCGAUGCUGCUACCACACAGAUGACAAGCCACCAGACAGAGACGCUCCCUGUUGAUCAAACAUCCCAUGAGGAUUCAGACAUCGAUGCUGCUACCACACAGGUGUGUACUGUCAAAGGUGUUUCCCUUGUGGAUUAUCUGUUAACUGAUGAAACAGAUGAGGAUUGUAUCGAAGACCAACCUCUGACUCCACACUGUGAUGACAUUUUUGGAAAGCAGAGUAGGAGUGAAAACAUUCUGAUGGAUAGAGUAUCCGAUUUUUCUGAGCCUCUGUAUGAUUCAAAUGAGACUAAAGUGGAGGAAACCGAUGAAGAGGAUUCUAUAAUAGGCCAUUCCAGUGUGCAAGCAGAUGGGGAACUUGUUCCAAAGCUGAGAAGGACGAAAAGCAUUCUGGUAAACAAACUGCUGCCAAACGAAGCUGGACACCAGAGGAAUGUGCAUGCAUGUGAAUGCAUCAUGAUGAGCCAAGUUCCAAGGAAAACAGACUGUCAGCGCUGCAUUACUGCCGAACCUCAAGCCCUUGCAAAUAGAGACUGGAAAGCAGUUAAAUUCUUCAUCAAAAAUCGAAUUACUGCCCUGAGGAGAAGAAAACUAUAGUGACAGCACUUCACUAAACGGGUAGAAACAUUAGGCUGGAGGGAGAACCCCUAAAAGUGUUUGUGCUCUUUCUCUAGUAAUUAGGGGUCCAAGCCCGAAGUGGCAUGGGAACCGCAUUUGCAAGGCAGUUUUAGUAGUUUUUGUUCUCCUUGUAUUCUUCUUGUGUUGUCCUGUUAGUUAUUUUUUGUCUUCAAUAUAAAAAGCGGAUCCAGACCAAUCCAUAAUAUUAACUUUUGAAGAAAAAGUUUAUAUAAAUGUUUUUUUUCCACUUUAAAUUUAAGUUUAAAUGGACGGAUAGUUCUUUAUACUUUAUAUUCUUAUACUAACAACUUUUACCAAGGAAAUCAUUUUUGGAUUGUAAUGAGAUCAUGACAAGUUGUGAGCAUGCUUUUUUUUUAUUAUUAUUUUUACUUAUCCCUCUUUCUACUUACUUACUUGACUUAUACUUGAUUUUCAUAUACAUGUGAGAAGUAAAUGUAGUGACUCAAAUACAUGUUAAAAAAUACAUGCUCAUUGAAGACAAAGCAUUUUGUAGUUUUUUUAUGCAAGGUUUUAUGUAAAAUAUUACUGAUAGUUACCCCUAGAAACAACAAUGUUAAUUUAAAAUGGCAUUUGGGGCUGAUUUGGAAGAGUCUCCAUAGUUUUGGAAAUGUUGAGUAGGAGCUCAUUUUUUGAAUAUCAUGUUAAUGCGCUGUCUACCUAAAGAUGAUCCUUGUCAAGAUGAGGCCAAACAUGGUAGUGACUGAGCUAACCAGGGAUUUUAAUUGGUUGGUCCUGUAGAUUCUUUGGUAAUCAAGGACAAACCAGAGAAACCAUUAAAGUCUCCAGAUAGUAACAUUGGUCCCUGCUAAUGUAUAAAAACAAGGAAUAUGUGUGAGUGGAGCUCACAAGUCCUGAAUGCUAGAAACGAGCCCCACAAGUGGCGAAAAAACUAGCAUGGAGAAAAAAGUUUUGAAUUCUGUUAAAUUGAAGUGGUAUUUGUGAUUAGGAACUGCUCUUUUUAUUGCCUGAUUUUUUACAAAGGUGUAGAACCACUGUAAAGGGUGGACCCCACAAUUGGGUAAAAAAUAUGUGGACCUCUCAAAGGAGGAAAACGAGUAUGUG
rnacentral:lncRNA from 1 species